UACAGAGGGUGCGAGCGUUAAUCGGAAUUACUGGGCGUAAAGCGCACGUAGUCGGCUUUGCAAGUCGGGUGUGAAAUCCCCGGGCUCAACCUGGGAACUGCAUCCGAGACUGCAUUGCUAGAGUAUGGGAGAGGGAAGCGGAAUUUCUGGUGUAGCAGUGAAAUGCGCAGAUAUCAGGAGGAACACCGGUGGCGAAGGCGGCACUCUGGGCCGGUACUGACGCUGAGGAGCGAAAGCGUGGGGAGCGAACAGG
rnacentral:rRNA from 1 species